CUCCCCUUGGUGUAGUUGGUUUAUCACGUUCGACUGUAAUGGUUUCAUUGUCAUCGAAAGGUCUCUAGUUCGAUUCUGGAAGGGGAGA
rnacentral:tRNA from 3 species